rnacentral:rRNA from 1 species
UACGUAGGGUGCGAGCGUUGUCCGGAAUUACUGGGCGUAAAGAGUUGCGUAGGCGGCAUUGUAAGUCGGUAGUGAAAGCGUGUGGCUCAACCACAUAUACAUUAUCGAAACUGCAAAGCUAGAGGACAAGAGAGGUCACUGGAAUUCCUUGUGUAGGAGUGAAAUCCGUAGAUAUAAGGAGGAACACCGAUGGCGUAGGCAGGUGACUGGCUUGUUCCUGACGCUCAGGCACGAAAGCGUGGGUAGCAAACGGG